AUUGAACGCUGGCGGCAGGCCUAACACAUGCAAGUCGAGCGAGAGGCGGACGGGUGAGUAAUGUAUGGGGAUCUUCCCGAUAUAGGUGGAUAACUACUGGAAACGGUAGCUAAUACCGCAUACUAUCGGAUGAACCCAUAGGGGAUUAGCUAGUUGGUGGGGUAAAGGCUCACCAAGGAAACGAUCCGUAGCUGGUUUGAGAGGACGAGCAGCCACACUGGGACUGAGACACGGCCCAGACUCCUACGGGAGGCAGCAGUGGGGAAUUUUGGAAAAUGGGCGAAACCCUGAUGCAGCCAUGCCGCGUGUAUGAGGAAGGCCUUCGGGUUGUAAAGUACUUUUGGUCGUGAGGCGGUAUCUGCAGAAUAAGCACCGGCUAACUACGUGCCAGCAGCCGCGGUAAUUC
rnacentral:rRNA from 1 species